AGAGUUUGAUCCUGGCUCAGAGCGAACGCUGGCGGCGUGCUUAACACAUGCAAGUCGAACGGUUGUAGCAAUACAACCGUGGCGAACGGGUGCGUAACACGUGGAUAACCUUCCUUCAGGUGGGGAAUAACCCAGUGAAAAUUGGGCUAAUACCGCAUAACAAGACGAGGGCACAUGCUUUUGUCUUCAAAGGCGCAAGUCGCCAGAAGAGGGAUCCGCGGCCGAUUAGCUAGUUGGCGGGGUAACGGCCCACCAAGGCAAUGAUCGGUAGCCGGAUUGAGAGGUUGGCCGGCCACACUGGAACUGAGACACGGUCCAGACUCCUACGGGAGGCAGCAGUGGGGAAUCUUGCACAAUGGACGAAAGUCUGAUGCAGCAACGCCGCGUGGGGGAUGAAGCUUCUCGGAGUGUAAACCCCUUUCGACCCGGAAGAAAGCCCGCAAGGGUCUGACGGUACGGGUAUAAGAAGCCCCGGCUAACUACGUGCCAGCAGCCGCGGUAAUACGUAGGGGGCCAGCGUUGCUCGGAAUUACUGGGCGUAAAGGGUCCGUAGGCGGUGUGGCAAGUCGGGAGUGAAAUCUCUGGGCUUAACCCAGAGGCUGCUUCCGAAACUGCCGUGCUAGAGUGUGAGAGAGGCGAGUGGAAUUGCGGGUGUAGCGGUGAAAUGCGUAGAUAUCCGCAGGAACAUCCGAGGCGAAAGCGGCUCGCUGGAUCACAACUGACGCUGANGGACGAAAGCUAGGGGAGCAAACAGGAUUAGAUACCCUGGUAGUCCUAGCCCUAAACCAUCAGGACUUGGGGUUUGCCCUGUACGGGGCAAGUCCCGUAGCUAACGCGUUAAGUCCUGCGCCUGGGNGUACNGUCGCAAGACUGAAACUCAAAGGAAUNGACGGGG
rnacentral:rRNA from 1 species